rnacentral:pre_miRNA from 1 species
UCUCCCAACCCUUGUACCAGUGCUAAUCGAACACCACUGGUACAGAGGAUGGAGGGU